ACCUCUGAGGCGCAAUCAGUGUGUUCAAUUGUUAAACAACAGGGCGAUAGUUCAAGGGCACCCAGGCAAGAGUGAUUGCUGUUUUCACUUCACCACUUUUCUAACGUCAAGAGCUGCAGAUUUGGGGAAUCUCAAAAAGAAACAAAAACUGCUGGAGAAACUCAACAGGAUUGGAAGUACCUGUGAGUAGAUUUGAGCAGCUGAAUGGCUUUCUCCUGUUCCUGUGUAACAUACUUGAGAGAAUGAAUAGCUGGGUUAUUAACAGCCAUGAAACUGGAUCUGAUGGAGGUUCCUCCUGCCUGAGUUACAGAAAAACAAACAACACAAUGUA